rnacentral:lncRNA from 1 species
GCAUGCUCAGUGCGCGGCCGGAGAAGGAGAGCGCUGGGGCGCAGCACCUGCUAGGUGCUGCUGAGAGGAGGCAGCCCCAGGUCCCUAACGCGCGAAAUUAGGAAAGGGCACCUCUCCUGAUUCUUAGGCAAGAGAAGAUUAUCAACGUGCAGCGACGUAGGGGUUGUGCUGUUCAGCGGCUAGGGAUAAGCCGAGACGAUUCUCCUUCGUUUGCAACCCUAAUGUCGGGGCACCAGGAGGCGCGACCUUCCUUGGUACCCGAACCUCUGGCCUCCGGGAGACGCGGAAUUCGGGGGAUCGUUAAGGCGCACUGGCCAUGGAAACAAAUGCUUCUGCUCUGGGCUGAAAAUUGUCGAACCAGGGAAUGUGGGUGGGCGGGUGGCAUUGAACUCAAGCCAGAAGAGGGGCUCUGGGAGGUUUUUACCUGCCUGUCCUUAGGCGAAGGACAUUGGCUAGACAGGCUACGUUACAGACCUGAAGUCUCACCCAUGCAACAUGCUUUCAGGGAAGAAGCAAUGCUCAGCUGCCACUUCUGCCAAGAUAGAAAGCCUCUCACCGAAGCUCCCAGGAUUGGGGAGUGUUCCUAAUAGACUCAGCCCCUGUCAGGAGACAGAAAUGGUUUAUUUUGAUGACAGUAGCCUCACACGUGUGUCUCUACAUAUCCAGGACCCCGGCUGCAUGUCAGUUUCUUGAUCAGGGGACCUGUGAUUGGGAUUCUCUGGAGGGGAAUGUUCCAAAUGAAUCAAUUAACGCCGCCAGCAGCAAGUUCAAUACCACUGCACUGAGACCCAGCUCUGUAUCAUUGCAUGAAUGAAUUACUGGUGCUCAUGUAAUUUGCAAAGAAUCAUCAUUAUAACACAGUGGAAAAUUUCUCCUGCCCAUUUAGCCUGAGUAGCACCUGAACAGAGAGCUGCAAUAACCCUCACAACACCCUCCAAAAUAACUAUUUACACAUAUGUGAAGUUUUACAUCCAGGUCUUUUAAUAUGGGAGUAUCUACAUGGACACAAGGUCACCUCUUACACUCAUUAAACCAACUGAAUGAGGUCUGAUAACUCUUAAGGGAAAUCAACGCUGAAACUGCUUUUGACUUUUUGGAGACAUGAAUGGAAUACAUCAUCAGGUUUUACUCAGCAUGCAACAGUUCUGCAAACUCCAGUGGGCCUCUCUCUGUCCCACUCCCCCAUUACGCCUGCUGUAUUCCUUCUCUACACAUCUGAGGAUUUGAUGAGUGGGGAUUUACUAUAAGAGGAGGAAAGAGGAAAAGCAUCACAGGAAAAGAAAUACCUCUUUUCUGACCACAUCUGAUUUGAUGCAAUUUUCUCCUUACUCCUGGCAUCCAGUGGGAUUUUAAAAAACUCAUACAUACCAUCUUUCUUUGUUCUAAAUGACUUGAAUGAGGUUGUUCAAUGACAGGAGUGACUCAGUCAGAUAAAAAUAUGUAGGUUUUAUAAUUACAGUUUUACUUGUUUAAUGUGUAGGUACCUGAAUAGAUCUUCAAGCAUAAAGUAGCACUUGUAUCCCAUCCCUGAUUUUAAAAUAUAAACCCAAGUUUGCUUUAAUUAAGUAGAUAAAUCAGUAUUUUAAUAAAGAAUUAUAUCAAGAAGGGGUUUGUGUUCAGUUUCAAACUGGAGUAUAAUAAAAUAGAACUCAACUAAGGAUUUUCAGACCAGCCUUGCAAAGCUUCCUCCUAUGCAAUUGUUUUAGGUGACUGAUUGACACUUAAGCUUUAAACUAAGGACAUUGGACUAAUAAUGGGCCCAUAUUGGGAUAAUGAUAAUUAGCACACAAAAGCACAGUUAAUUACCAUGAAGGUUGCAACACAGACUGACAGAUACAGUCAAAGUAAACUAGAAGCCUGACACCCCAGCCAAGAUUCCUUUAUAAACAUGGCUGUGAGACACCCACUGAAUUUAAACAUAAUAAGGUGGAAUUAGGGAUCAAUCAACUGUUUUCUUAGCCAUACGUUUUCCAGAUUUUUUUGGAUUCUUUAUACAAAAUCCAAAAAUAAUUGUUCCAAAGGUCUUCAGUUG